rnacentral:rRNA from 1 species
GGCUGUCGUCAGCUCGUGGCGUGAGAUGUUGGGUUAAGUCUCGCAACGAGCGCAACCCCUAUCCUUAGUUGCCAGCAUUAAGUUGGGCACUCUAGGGAGACUGCCUGGGCUAACCAGGAGGAAGGUGGGGAUGACGUCAAGUCCUCAUGGCCCUUAUGUCCGGGGCUACACACGUAAUACAAUGGUGCAUACAAUGGGAAGCGACCCUGCGAAGGUGAGCAAAUCUCAAAAAGUGCAUCUCAGUCCGGAUUGGAGUCUGCAACUCGACUCCAUGAAGUUGGAAUCGCUAGUAAUCGUGGAUCAGCAUGCCACGGUGAAUACGUUCCCGGGCCUUGUACACACCGCCCGUCA